rnacentral:rRNA from 1 species
ACCACAACAGGUGGAGCCUGCGGUUUAAUCGGACUCAACGCCGGGAAACUCACCAGAUAAGACAGCUGAAUGAUAGUCGGGCUGAAGACUCUACUUGACUAGCUGAGAGGAGGUGCAUGGCCGUCGUCAGUUCGUACUGUGAAGCAUCCUGUUAAGUCAGGCAACGAGCGAGACCCACGCCAACAGUUGCCAGCUCGUCCUCCGGGAUGGUGGGGACGACUGUUGGGACCACCUCUGCUAAAGAGGAGGAAGGGAAAUGGGCAACGGUAGGUCAGCAUGCCCCGAACUUAUCUGGGCUACACGCGGGCUACAAUGGGUGGGACAAUGGGUAUCGACACCGAAAGGUGAAGGCAAUCUCCUAAACCCAUCCGUAGUUCGGAUUGUGGGCUGCAACUCGCCCACAUGAAGCUGGAAUCUGUAGUAAUCGUGUCUCAAAAUGGCACGGUGAAUAUGUCCCUGCUCCUU